rnacentral:rRNA from 1 species
UCCUCCAAGGCUAAAUACUCCUGACUGACCGAUAGUGAACCAGUACCGUGAGGGAAAGGCGAAAAGAACCCCGGCGAGGGGAGUGAAAAAGAACCUGAAACCGUGUACGUACAAGCAGUGGGAGCACGCUUAGGCGUGUGACUGCGUACCUUUUGUAUAAUGGGUCAGCGACUUAUAUUCUGUAGCAAGGUUAACCGAAUAGGGGAGCCGAAGGGAAACCGAGUCUUAACUGGGCGUUAAGUUGCAGGGUAUAGACCCGAAA